CGGACCUCUGAGACUAUCACAGUGCAGGUGCAUUUAUACGGAGACUUGAUUACACACAGGUGGAUUGUAUUUAUCAUCAUUAGUCAUUUAGGUCAACAUUGGAUAAUUCAGAGAUCCUCACUGAACUUCUGGAGAGAGUUUGCUGCACUGAAAGUAAAGGGGCUGAAUAAUUUUGCACGCCCAAUUUUUCAGUUUUUGAUUUGUUAAAAAAGUUUGAAAUAUCCAAUAAAUGUCGUUCCACUUCAUGAUUGUGUCCCACUUGUUGUUGAUUCUUCACAAAAAAAUACAGUUUUAUAUCUUUAUGUUUGAAUCCUGAAAUGUGGCAAAAAGUUUGCAAAGUUCAAGGGGGCCGAAUACUUUCGCAAGGCACUGUAAGUAGUACUUUCAAGUAUUUUUUUACUUAAGUACUUUACACCACUGCCUAUGCCUCACCCGUCUGGAGAAUGUGGUGAGUCAUUCACAAUAUAAUUAUAUUCCUAUGCAUUCUGCUUACAACAAAAUAUCUUUCAUGUUUCAGAAUGUUGCAUCGAAGUGGCUAAUAUUGGCGUUUGAUUCGAUCACAAUUGCCACAGUAAAAGGAAAACGUUGAUAGUGUUAAUUAAAAGGGGAAAACUCAAGAACAGUUGAAUGAAGUUUAAUCUCCUGCUUCUCUUUGUGGGCAGAUAUUUCUUAAGCACUCUAAAAGGCAGUCUCGUGGGGGCUGUACGGCAGUCUCGUGGGAGCUGUACGGCAGUCUCGUGGGAGCUGUACGGCAGUCUCGUGGGAGCUGUACGGCAGUCUCGUGGAAGCUGUACGGCAGUCUCAUGGGAGCUAUAUGGCAGUCUCGUGGGAGCUGUAUGGCAGUCUCAUGGGAGCUGUACGGCAGUCUCAUGGGAGCUGUACGGCAGUCUCAUGGGAGCUGUACGGCAGUCUCGCGGGAGCUCUACGGCAGUCUCAUGGGAGCUGUAUGGCAGUCUCAUGGGAGCUGUACGGUAGUCUCGUGGGAGCUGUAUGGCAGUCUCGUGGGAGCUGUACGGCAGUCUCGUGGGAGCUGUAUGGCAGUCUCGUGGGAGCUUUGUGGCCGUCUCAUGGGAACUGUGCGGCAGUCUCAUGGGAGCUGUGCGGCAGUCUCGGGGCUACAGCACGUCUGCUAACGCAUGCAAGUUUAGAGGGAAGCCUCAUGUUUUCAGACCAGUGGUCGCUUUACAUUUUAUGAACAUGUAACAUAACAUGAUCUAUUCCAAUUCCAGUGCCAUUUUCAAUGUUAUUCUAUUAUAUGCUAUUAUAUUCCAUUAUAUUAUAUUAUAUUAUAUUAUAUUCCAGCUCCAUGUUAUAUUAUAUUGUAAUAUACUCUAUUGUAUUGUAUUCUAUUUUAUCUUGGGUCAGUGGAUGGUGCUUUGUGGAAGUGUGUUGUAUAGCCUAUGUCACCAACAGCAGAAAUAGCGUUUUGGCAUUGAUAGUAGAAUAAUUUUAGUCGGCAACCAAAGUCGGAUGUUCGGUUGCAAAAUGUAGCUCCUCCUCCUCGGCCGUGCCCAAUUUCAACACAGACGGCAGUGAGGGUUCAUUGGGUAGUGGGGUUGGUUGGCCCUACGUGGUGACGUAAACGGGCGUUUACAUUGGGAAAGUUCGUUUUGCAUGGCCCUGUGGCCCGUCUCAGCGGAGUUUAAAUGUUUUAAAACAAAGGUGUCAAACUCAUUCCACGGAGGGCCGAGUUUCGGUUCUUCCCUUGUACUUGAGUGAUAAAUUAAGGUCAGUCAUUUGUAAGGAAUUCCUCACACCUGGUGGUCUUGGGCUGAAAUUGAAAGGGAAAAACAAAACCUUGCAGCUCAUAGGCCAUCCAUGGAAUGACUUUGUCACGCCUGUUUUAGACCAUCCCGUUAUUGGUCCUUAAAGGAAAUCUCCACCCACCCGAGACAGCUGGCCAUGCAAAACGAAGUGGCCCAUUGAUACUUCGCUCGACGCUGAACAGAAUGACAUCUCCAUACAUUAUUUAAAAAACAAACGUUUGGCUAUAUUUGUUGAGUUUGAACUCCUUGUGAAAGUAGGCUACUGUUUUGUCAACUUCAGCACAACGGGAACAGGAAAAAAAAGUGCGGCUAUGCAGGCUACUUGUAAUGUAGUCUAUGAGUGACUUGUCUAGUUUACCCUUUGCAAAGCGAAUUAUUGAAUGGUUGUUUAGCGAACCGAAACGUCACCUUUUCAUUUCGGGGAAUGCCUUUACUUUAAACUACUUUAUUUGCUAACGUGGCAUCAAAUAGAACGUGUGGUGUCUGUUGUAGUUUCUGAUUGGUGAACUUCGAGUGGUGGUGUAGCUGGUUUGGCUUGUGUCCCAAAACUAGAGUACUGUCAAAAGAUCUGGGAGCUGUCGCACAAUUCAAGCUGGUCCGAACUCUCACUAAAAUGUAAGAGAGAGGCAUACGUGUCUGUAUUGUAUUCACCGGCCCGU
rnacentral:lncRNA from 13 species